AGGGAAGGCACAAACAGGGAGGCACAGUGGGUCAGGGACUCCCACGGGACAAACAGCCUCCAAACCCCGAGACACCAACACCCUAACAGAACCACGGCCAGGUGCCAGCCCAGAGCAACGGAAACCCAGCUGUGACGAGAGGAUGCAGCAGUUUGAUCCUCUGAAUUGUGACCCAGAGCACAAGAUGCUGAGGUAGCUGCCAUUUGGGUUCUACAAAGUCAAGAGCCUCUUGUCAACAACUGCACAGAAAAUAAAAGGUGACAACGAA